CUGUGUGAACCAUGAGCUCGUGGCGAAGAAGUUUGCCUGUUUCAUGAAAGAGGAGUCCAGUGCGCUGGAACAGGAACGGAGAUCGUGCUCCUGUCAGCCUGGCGUGGGACAUCUACUCCAGCCCUCACCAGCUCUUAGAAAUGAAAGGAUGCUGUCCUGUCAAACCUCCACCGUUCUCCAUUCUCACCAGAAAAGAGCAGAAAGAUGAUUGUCAGACAGAAGCAGAAGAAGUUUCUCAUCUGGAGAGGCAGAAACCACAGGUGUCAGAGGAAGCAGACAUGCUAUCUCAGGUUAACCCUCAAGUCUCUAAACUGACCCGCAAUGCUGGAACGGAUACUAUUGGCAGAGGAUGGCGUAUCAGAGCCGAGGCCACAGAUGAACGCUGUGCUCAGACUGAUAUACACAAGCCUCAGUAAGUAAUUACCAACUCUGCUGAGGAGACCGAGCAUGUGUAUAAGGUACGGAAUUCCAUGAUCCACCAAUCAGAUUUAAGAACCCAAUCAUUCCUCUGUGGUGAUGAAGAUCAUGCUUAACAUUACAGAAUGAUUUCACGAGAGGUUGUCCAUUUUCUACUGGCAGUUAAAAUGUUUGCUAUUUGAGAUUAUGGCAGUAUUUUGAACCACUAAUGUCCACUUAAUAGCCUCUGAUUCUGAUGGAUUUUACUGUAAUGCACAUCUGUCAUUCAGGCUGUAGUCAACACUGCUGUCUUCACACUGAAAGCUCAUGAAGGUGUGAC
ensembl:lncRNA